GAUACUUUGGCCGAGUGGUUAAGGCGGUGGGCCGUCAAGCCGCUGGGUUUCACCCGCGGAAGUUCGGAUCUUCCUGGUGCA